rnacentral:rRNA from 1 species
ACUCAAAGGAAUUGACGGGGACCCGCACAAGCAGCGGAGCGUGUGGUUUAAUUCGAGGCUACGCGAAGAACCUUACCAGGGUUUGACAUGCACGUAGUAGUGAAGCGAAAGCGGAACGACCCUUCGGGGAGCGUGCACAGGUGAUGCAUGGCUGUCGUCAGCUCGUGCCGUGAGGUGUUUGGUUAAGUCCACUAACGAGCGCAACCCCUAGCGCCAGUUACAUGUGUCUGGCGCGACUGCCGGUCUUAAGCCGGAGGAAGGUGGGGAUGACGUCAAGUCAGCAUGUCCCUUAUAUCCUGGGCUACACACACGCUACAAUGGCCAGUACAAUAGGGUGCUAAGCCGUGAGGCGGAGCCAAUCCUCAAAGCUGGUCUCAGUUCGGAUCGUAGGCUGCAACCCGCCUACGUGAAGUCGGAGUUGCUAGUAACUGCAGGACAGCUAUACUGCGGUGAAUACGUUCCCGGGUCUUGUACACACCGCCCGU